CACGUAGGGGGCAAGCGUUGUCCGGAUUUAUUGGGCGUAAAGAGCUCGUAGGUGGCUGAGUAAGUCGGAUGUUAAAUCCCCAGGCUCAACCUGGGACACCACCCGAUACUGCUCUGGCUAGAGUCCGGUAGGGAGCGUGGAAUUUCCUGGUGUAGCGGUGAAUGCGCAGAUAUCAGGAGGAACACCAGCGGCGAAGGCGGCGCUCUGGCCGGUACUGACACUGAGGAGCGAAGCGUGGUAGCAACAGG
rnacentral:rRNA from 1 species